GUAAUACUCCCUCCGUCCCAUAUUAAGUGCCGAAAUAUUACAUGUAUCUAGACGUAUUUUAGUAUAUAGAUACGUCCAUGUUUAGACAAAUUUGAGUCACACCUAAUAUGGGACUGAGGGAGUAUUUA
rnacentral:pre_miRNA from 1 species